AUGGGGAAAAUGUCCCGACCACUCCCACUGAAACCCACCUUUAUCCCACCUCCCUACCGCGUGCUCGGGUCCUUGCUGGAGAACCCGCUGAAGCUCCCCCUUCAUCACGAAGAUGCAUUUAGCAAAGAUAAAGACAAGGAAAAGAAGCUGGAUGAUGAGAGUAAGAGCCCGACGGUCCCCAGUCAGCAUUCUUGGGACCCACCUUAUGGGACAAAACCCUUCCCUAUGACGGAGAUACUUUCCAGGUGGAAUACAUGGACCUGGAGGAGUUUUUGUCGGAAAAUGGCAUUCCCCCCAGCCCGUCUCAGCAUGACCACAGCCCUCACACUCCCGGGCCACAGCCGGCUUCCCCCUCCGUCAUGGACCUCAGCAGUCGGACCUCAGCACCCAUUCACUCUGGCAUCCCAUCCCCAAACUGCAUGCAGAGCCCCAUCAGACCAGACCAGCUAUUGCCAGCCAACCGCAAUACUCCGAGCCCCAUUGACCCUGACACCAUCCAGGUCCCGAUGGGCUAUGAGCCAGACCCGGCCGACCUUGCCCUCUCCAGCAUCCCCUGGCAGGAAAUGUUUGACCGUCGCAAACCCAAGUUCUCUGAGGAAGAACUGAAGCCACAGCCCGUGAUUAAGAAAGCUCGCAAAGUCUUCAUCCCAGAUGAUCUGAAGAGCACUGGAGGAAAAAGUACCCAGCAGAUUUAA